rnacentral:lncRNA from 1 species
ACCAUUUAUAAACUCAACACAUAGGCCAACAAGGCCAUACAAGUAUCCAUAAACCUGAUAUCUGUCUACAAGCUUCUAAGAGCACAUAAAAUCAUAAAGGUCGGGACAUGACCCGACAUACCAAUCAAUACAUAUCCAAAGCAUACUGACCAAAUAGGCAACUCCAGAGCAAGUGGAGUGCACCAACACCUCCGCUGAGCUGAUAGCCUACUAGGAAGACUGUCAACCUAUCAAUCGGGACAUACGGGCAUGAAACGCAACAUCCCAAGCAAAAGGGACUUCAAUACAAAUAAAGUACCGAGUAUGUAAGGCACGAAAGCAUAAACAAGAACAUUAAUGUAAAGAGAGAUAGAGGAGAUACAACCUGUAACAUCUGAGUGCCUCUAGGGGAUACUGACAUGAAAUUCAUAAUACAUAUAUAUACAUAAACUUUUAACAACAUACGCCUCUGUGGGCAUCAUCAUCAUAUCGUACUCGGCCUCAAAGAGGACUCAGUAAAAACGUACCCAGCCAUCAUAAGGCUUAGUAGAAUCGUACCCGGCCACGUGGAGAUCGAUAAACCCAACUGAUCAGUGGUUGCACAAUAGGUUUCGUACCCGUCCUACUAUAGUGCGGCUCGGUAGAGUAAAAUAGAUGUUAUAUAUAAUGCAUGCUAGACUCAUGGAAUCACGGUCUAAACCUUUUGGAGUGACUUAAGGUCGUUGCACCUUCGAUUAAUAUUGUGGAUAUCAUACCAUCAAUAUGAGCUUCUAUAGGAUUCAAGGAUCAUACAUACUUGCUUAAAAUAACUUUAUAAGGAAAGAACAACAUGGGCAACCUUAGUUUCUAGGAGUAGAUCCGUUAUGAAAUAACAUAUUCAUUUCACUUUAGAUCAUGCCAAAAGAAAGAGGGAAGUGUCUUAACAUACCUUAACCAUGGUGAGUCCUUAAUACCUUCCAAGCUACUCUACAAACAACUCAACUCAAUCUAUCAUUGCAUAAGGAGAUUCAAAAUCAGUGUUGAAUAAAGGCCAAGUCUGCAACUUAAACUUGUAGCUCGUUUAUAUAAAUUCGGGCAGCAUCUCCCCUGUAACAAGAGCCUCCUCCAAUAUCAUAUAACAACAACAAUUACCAGAUAAAUCCAGUAAUACAUAAUUAUCAAUAACAAGACACCAUAAAACAACAACAAGUCAUAACUAUUUUACGACGAGUGACAAGCUCUAAUUGGAAUUUGUAUACCCCAUAUCAUCCAUUAUAGACUUUUUAAUUUAACUUAAUAUUAUCACUAACAUGAUAAUGAAGUAAUUCAUCAAUAAUUCCAGCCUUAUACCAUAUAUCCAUAACAAAGAAAAUGAUCCACAACUCCAAUUAUUCUUAAUUAGCAACUUUAUUCACUAGUUCAUAUCUAGUUCAUCCAUUUAACUUAACCAAUGCCAAGAUAACCUUAAGAACCUAUAGGAACACAAUAUAAUUAUCUCAUAAAGUAGAUUCAAUUCGAAAUCCAUAUUAUAUUUAGCUUACAACAGCCCAAUACACCCCAAUCAAUUCAUAUCCAAAACGACGACUAUAGUAGUGUCAAACAUAAUGACUAAUCCAUGAUUUUUUCAUUAUGUGGUGUUUCUCCACACCAUUUAUCCUCCAAAAACUCUAUUUAUUAGCAACAAAAUAUACAUCCCAAAAGCUACACGAAACAGCCCUAAAACAGUCCAUUACAAGUCAAAUAACUCGAACUCACGGCUUCCGAUCACCGUCCUGUGAGUUCUAACUAUUAUGAAAUCAAUUAAUCAAUCUUCCUUAAUAUUUAAUAUCUUAAAACCAGAAAUUAGGCAUUUUUAUUAACUUCAAAAUACCUUCUAAACUCAAACUAUAAAGAAAAAAAAGUAAUAUAGCGAUACUUACGUCGCAGGGAUCAUUUUGAUGUUAUCGCUACUUGAUUUCGUGCCCCGAAUGAUAGUAUCAUUGAAAAUCCUUGUAGAGAGAUUAAGGGUGAUGUUAGGGGUC